rnacentral:rRNA from 1 species
GACGAACGCUGUCGGCGUGCUUAACACAUGCAAGUCGAACGGAAAGGCCCUGCUUUUGUGGGGUGCUCGAGUGGCGAACGGGUGAGUAACACGUGAGUAACCUGCCCUUGACUUUGGGAUAACUUCAGGAAACUGGGGCUAAUACCGGAUAGGAGCUCCUGCUGCAUGGUGGGGGUUGGAAAGUUUCGGCGGUUGGGGAUGGACUCGCGGCUUAUCAGCUUGUUGGUGGGGUAGUGGCUUACCAAGGCUUUGACGGGUAGCCGGCCUGAGAGGGUGACCGGCCACAUUGGGACUGAGAUACGGCCCAGACUCCUACGGGAGGCAGCAGUGGGGAAUAUUGCACAAUGGGCGGAAGCCUGAUGCAGCAACGCCGCGUGCGGGAUGACGGCCUUCGGGUUGUAAACCGCUUUCGCCUGUGACGAAGCGUGAGUGACGGUAAUGGGUAAAGAAGCACCGGCUAACUACGUGCCAGCAGCCGCGGUGAUACGUAGGGUGCGAGCGUUGUCCGGAUUUAUUGGGCGUAAAGGGCUCGUAGGUGGUUGAUCGCGUCGGAAGUGUAAUCUUGGGGCUUAACCCUGAGCGUGCUUUCGAUACGGGUUGACUUGAGGAAGGUAGGGGAGAAUGGAAUUCCUGGUGGAGCGGUGGAAUGCGCAGAUAUCAGGAGGAACACCAGUGGCGAAGGCGGUUCUCUGGGCCUUUCCUGACGCUGAGGAGCGAAAGCGUGGGGAGCGAACAGGCUUAGAUACCCUGGUAGCCCACGCUGUAAACGGUGGGUACUAGGUGUGGGGUCCAUUCCACGGGUUCCGUGCCGUAGCUAACGCUUUAAGUACCCCGCCUGGGGAGUACGGCCGCAAGGCUAAAACUCAAAGGAAUUGACGGGGCCCCGCACAAGCGGCGGAGCAUGCGGAUUAAUUCGAUGCAACGCGUAGAACCUUACCUGGGUUUGACGUGGAUCGGGAGUGCUCAGAGAUGGGUGUGCCUCUUUUGGGGUCGGUUCACAGGUGGUGCAUGCCUGUCGUCAGCUCGUGUCGUGAGAUGUUGGGUUAAGUCCCGCAACGAGCGCAACCCUUGUUCACUGUUGCCAGCACGUUAUGGUGGGGACUCAGUGGAGACCGCCGGGGUCAACUCGGAGGAAGGUGGGGAUGACGUCAAGUCCUCAUGCCCCUUAUGUCCAGGGCUUCACGCAUGCUACAAUGGCUGGUACAGAGAGUGGCGAGCCUGUGAGGGUGAGCGAAUCUCGGAAAGCCGGUCUCAGUUCGGAUUGGGGUCUGCAACUCGACCUCAUGAAGUCGGAGUCGCUAGUAAUCGCAGAUCAGCAACGCUGCGGUGAAUACGUUCCCGGGGCU